CCUGGCUCAGGAUGAACGCUAGCGACAGGCUUAACACAUGCAAGUCGAGGGGCAGCACAGGUAGCAAUACCGGGUGGCGACCGGCGCACGGGUGAGUAACGCGUAUGCAACUUGCCUAUCAGAGGGGGAUAACCCGGCGAAAGUCGGACUAAUACCGCAUGAAGCAGGGGCCCCGCAUGGGGAUAUUUGCUAAAGAUUCAUCGCUGAUAGAUAGGCAUGCGUUCCAUUAGGCAGUUGGCGGGGUAACGGCCCACCAAACCGACGAUGGAUAGGGGUUCUGAGAGGAAGGUCCCCCACAUUGGUACUGAGACACGGACCAAACUCCUACGGGAGGCAGCAGUGAGGAAUAUUGGUCAAUGGGCGUAAGCCUGAACCAGCCAAGUCGCGUGAGGGAUGAAGGUUCUAUGGAUCGUAAACCUCUUUUAUAAGGGAAUAAAGUGCGGGACGUGUCCCGUUUUGUAUGUACCUUAUGAAUAAGGAUCGGCUAACUCCGUGCCAGCAGCCGCGGUAAUACGGAGGAUCCGAGCGUUAUCCGGAUUUAUUGGGUUUAAAGGGUGCGUAGGCGGCCUUUUAAGUCAGCGGCGAAAGUCUGUGGCUCAACCAUAGAAUUGCCGUUGAAACUGGGGGGCUUGAGUAUGUUUGAGGCAGGCGGAAUGCGUGGUGUAGCGGUGAAAUGCAUAGAUAUCACGCAGAACCCCGAUUGCGAAGGCAGCCUGCCAAGCCAUGACUGACGCUGAUGCACGAAAGCGUGGGGAUCAAACAGGAUUAGAUACCCUGGUAGUCCACGCAGUAAACGAUGAUCACUAGCUGUUUGCGAUACACUGUAAGCGGCACAGCGAAAGCGUUAAGUGAUCCACCUGGGGAGUACGCCGGCAACGGUGAAACUCAAAGGAAUUGACGGGGGCCCGCACAAGCGGAGGAACAUGUGGUUUAAUUCGAUGAUACGCGAGGAACCUUACCCGGGUUUGAACGCAUUCGGACCGAGGUGGAAACACCUUUUCUAGCAAUAGCCGUUUGCGAGGUGCUGCAUGGUUGUCGUCAGCUCGUGCCGUGAGGUGUCGGCUUAAGUGCCAUAACGAGCGCAACCCUUGCCACUAGUUACUAACAGGUAAAGCUGAGGACUCUGGUGGGACUGCCAGCGUAAGCUGCGAGGAAGGCGGGGAUGACGUCAAAUCAGCACGGCCCUUACAUCCGGGGCGACACACGUGUUACAAUGGCGUGGACAAAGGGAAGCCACCUGGCGACAGGGAGCGGAUCCCCAAACCACGUCUCAGUUCGGAUCGGAGUCUGCAACCCGACUCCGUGAAGCUGGAUUCGCUAGUAAUCGCGCAUCAGCCAUGGCGCGGUGAAUACGUUCCCGGGCCUUGUACACACCGCCC
rnacentral:rRNA from 1 species